rnacentral:rRNA from 1 species
AUUGAACGCUGGCGGCAGGCCUAACACAUGCAAGUCGAGCGGAUGAAGGGAGCUUGCUCCUGGAUUCAGCGGCGGACGGGUGAGUAAUGCCUAGGAAUCUGCCUGGUAGUGGGGGAUAACGUCCGGAAACGGGCGCUAAUACCGCAUACGUCCUGAGGGAGAAAGUGGGGGUUCUUCGGCCCUCCCGCUAUCGGCUGGGCCUAGGUCGGAUUAGCUAGUUGGUGGGGUAAAGGCCUACCAAGACGACGAUCCGUAACUGGUCUGAGAGGAUGAUCAGUCACACUGGAACUGAGACACGGUCCAGACUCCUACGGGAGGCAGCAGUGGGGAAUAUUGGACAAUGGGCGAAAGCCUGAUCCAGCCAUGCCGCGUGUGUGAAGAAGGUCUUCGGAUUGUAAAGCACUUUAAGUUGGGAGGAAGGGCAGUAAGUUAAUACCUUGCUGUUUUGACGUUACCAACAGAAUAAGCACCGGCUAACUUCGUG